rnacentral:rRNA from 1 species
UCGAGGAUCUUCGGCAAUGGGCGCAAGCCUGACCGAGCGACGCCGCGUGCGCGAUGAAGGCCUUCGGGUUGUAAAGCGCUGUCGAGGGGAAGAAAAGCCCGCAAGGGUUUGAUCGACCCCUGGAGGAAGCACGGGCUAAGUUCGUGCCAGCAGCCGCGGUAAGACGAACCGUGCGAACGUUGUUCGGAAUCACUGGGCUUAAAGGGCGCGUAGGCGGGCCAUCAAGUCAGGGGUGAAAUCCUCCAGCUCAACUGGAGAACAGCUUUUGAUACUGGUGGUCUCGAGGGGGGUAGGGGCAUGUGGAACUUCCGGUGGAGCGGUGAAAUGCGUAGAUAUCGGAAGGAACGCCGGUGGCGAAAGCGACGUGCUGGACCCUUUCUGACGCUGAGGCGCGAAAGCCAGGGGAGCAAACGGGAUUAGAUACCCCCGUAGUCC